CCGAAACCACUGGUUGCCUGCUCUAGUUCUGCAUAGGAAAAUGCUCGUGGAGCAACAUCCUCACAUAACUGAACACUUCUACUGUCCUGGAUUUUUCUGUAAGUCCAGACAUGAUUUCUGUGAAUGAGGAAUCCGGAGAUGCCUAACACCAACAAAGCAAAAACAGCCAAUGUAAUGCCGGCAAUUAGGAUCUCUAUCCUAAGCUUUUUGCCUUUUGUUUCUUCAAUCAUCUGAUUAGG
rnacentral:misc_RNA from 1 species